UACGAGAGCCUCGAGCGUUAUCCGGAAUUAUUGGGCGUAAAGGGUGAGUAGGCGGCGCUGUUAGUCGAGUGUUAAAUCCCAGGGCUUAACCUUGGAAUCGCAUUCGAAACGGCAGUGCUUGAGAAAAGAAGGGGUGCAUAGAACUCAUGGUGUAGGGGUGAAAUCCGUUGAUAUCAUGGGGAAUACCAAAAGCGAAGGCAGUGCACUGGUCUUUAUCUGACGCUGAAUCACGAAAGCGUGGGUCGCGAAUGGG
rnacentral:rRNA from 1 species